CUACGGGCCGCUCCAGUCAGGAAUCUUGCGCAAUGGGGGAAACCCUGACGCAGCGACGCCGCGUGGAGGAUGAAGGCCUUCGGGUUGUAAACUCCUUUUCUUAAGGACGAUAAUGACUUAACUUAAGGAAUAAGCACCUGCUAACUACGUGCCAGCAGCCGCGGUAAUACGUAGGGUGCAAGCGUUAUCCGGAAUCAUUGGGCGUAAAGAGUAGCGUAGGCGGUUUGUUAAGUUAUUAGUGAAAUCCUCCGGCUUAACUGGAGACCCGCUAAUAAUACUGGCAAACUAGAAUCAUGGAGGGGAAAGCGGAACUCUUGGUGUAGGGGUGAAAUCCGUUGAUAUCAAGAGGAACACCAAAGGCGUAGGCAGCUUUCUGGUCAUGUUUUGACGCUGAGGCACGAAAGCGUGGGUAGCGAAACGGAUUAGAUACCCUCGUAGUC
rnacentral:rRNA from 1 species